UGGGGAAUCUUGCGCAAUGGCCGAAAGGCUGACGCAGCGACGCCGCGUGAGGGAUGACGGCCUUCGGGUUGUAAACCUCUGUUGCCCGGGACGAACCGCUCCAUUCGUGGAGCCUGACGGUACCGGGUGAGGAAGCACCGGCUAACUCUGUGCCAGCAGCCGCGGUAAUACAGAGGGUGCGAGCGUUGUCCGGAAUCACUGGGCGUAAAGGGCGCGUAGGCGGUCUCUUAAGCGUGUGGUGAAAGCCCGGGGCUCAACUCCGGGUCGGCCGUGCGAACUGGGGGACUGGAGCUUGUCAGAGGCAGGCGGAAUUCCGGGUGUAGCGGUGGAAUGCGUAGAGA
rnacentral:rRNA from 1 species